UUAACCUGGUUGAUCCUGCCAGUAGUCAUAUGCUUGUCUCAAAGAUUAAGCCAUGCAUGUGUAAGUACAAGCCGACUUAAGGCGAAACCGCGAAUGGCUCAUUAAAUCAGCUAUGAUCCAUUGGAUCUUUAAACCUACUUACUUGGAUAACUGUGGUAAUUCUAGAGCUAAUACAUGCAUCACGUCUCUGACCGCAAGGGAAGAGCGCUUUUAUUAGUUUCAAACCAGUCGGGCCUCGGUCCGUCAGCCAAAAUGUGGUGACUCUGAAUAACUUUUUGCUGAGCGCAAAGUCUACGCACUUGGCGCUGAAUCCUUCAAGUAUCUGCCUUAUCAGCUGUCGAUUGUAGGUUACACGCCUACAAUGGCUAUAACGGGUAACGGGGAAUCAGGGUUCGAUUCCGGAGAGGGAGCCUGAGAAACGGCUACCACAUCCAAGGAAGGCAGCAGGCACGCAAAUUACCCACUCCUGGCAUGGGGAGGUAGUGACGAAAAAUAACGAUGCGAGACUCAUCCGAGGCCUCGCAAUCGGAAUGAGUACACUUUAAAUCCUUUAACGAGGAUCCAUUGGAGGGCAAGUCUGGUGCCAGCAGCCGCGGUAAUUCCAGCUCCAAUAGCGUAUAUUAAAGUUGUUGCGGUUAAAAAGCUCGUAGUUGAAUCUCACUAACGGACUGACGGUUGGUUGGUUAGUCCACCGCCCGGUGGCUACUACUACUAAUUCUGUCAUGCUCCGAACAGCCGCAAUAACGCUGGCUUGCACGGGUUGCUCUUCAUCGAGUGUCCCGAGUGGCUGGCACGUUUACCUUGAAAAAAUUAGAGUGCUCAGAGCAGGCUUUUGGAAUGGCCUGAAUGUCUAUGCAUGGCAUGCUAGAACAAGACCUCGGUUCAACGUUAUUGGUUUACUGAACCAGAGGUAAUGAUUAAUAUGGACAGGCGGGGGCAUUCGUAUUGCGACGCUAGAGGUGAAAUUCUUGGACCGUCGCAAGACGAACUACUGCGAAAGCAUUUGCCAAGGAUGUUUUCAUUAAUCAAGAACGAAAGUUAGAGGUUCGAAGGCGAUCAGAUACCGCCCUAGUUCUAACCGUAAACGAUGCCAACCAGCGAUCCGUUCGAGUUAUAUCCAUGACCCGGCGGGCAGCUUCCGGGAAACCAAAGUCUUUGGGUUCCGGGGGAAGUAUGGUUGCAAAGCUGAAACUUAAAGGAAUUGACGGAAGGGCACCACCAGGAGUGGAGCCUGCGGCUUAAUUUGACUCAACACGGGGAAACUCACAAGGCCCAGACACCGGAAGGAUUGACAGACUGAGAGCUCUUUCUCGAUUCGGUGGGUGGUGGUGCAUGGCCGUUCUUAGUUGGUGGAACGAAUUUUUCUG
rnacentral:rRNA from 1 species